rfam:Bacteroides sp. SM23_62 WORSMTZ_8609, whole genome shotgun sequence.
GAAUCAGUAGCUCAGUUGGUAGAGCACAUCCCUUUUAAGGAUGGGGUCCUGGGUUCGAGACCCAGCUGAUUCA